GAUGAACGCUGGCGGCGUGCCUAAUACAUGCAAGUCGAGCGAACAGACGAGGAGCUUGCUCCUCUGACGUUAGCGGCGGACGGGUGAGUAACACGUGGAUAACCUACCUAUAAGACUGGGAUAACUUCGGGAAACCGGAGCUAAUACCGGAAAUAUAUUUAACCGCAUGGUUCAAUAGUGAAAGACGGUUUUGCUUUCACUUAUAGAUGGAUCCGCGCCGCAUUAGCUAGUUGGUAAGGUAACGGCUUACCAAGGCAACGAUGCGUAGCCGACCUGAGAGGGUGAUCGGCCACACUGGAACUGAGACACGGUCCAGACUCCUACGGGAGGCAGCAGUAGGGAAUCUUCCGCAAUGGGCGAAAGCUUGACGGAGCAACGCCGCGUGAGUGAUGAAGGUCUUCGGAUCGUAAAACUCUGUUAUUAGGGAAGAACAAAUGUGUAAGUAACUAUGCACGUCUUGACGGUACCUAAUCAGAAAGCCACGGCUAACUACGUG
rnacentral:rRNA from 1 species